UGGAGCAGUAGCCCGGGGAGCGGGAGCUCCCGGCUCCUGCUCGGUACGGGCCGCUUCGUACGGGCCGUUCGGUGCGGGCCGCUUCGU
rnacentral:tRNA from 1 species